CCCAGAGUGAAAGACAGAGGAACCAAUCGAGGCUCGGCUGACCUCAGACGUCUAAGGCGAUAGGCGUUGCUAAGAAAAGGGGGUGGGACGAUACCCAGUUGCCAAGACGACGGCUUCCGGGUGGGCGGCUUGAGGUGGCUUCCGGCCGCCAGGCGAGACUCCGCGGGAAAACUCCCUGCUAGAGAGACUAGGAGAUUUGGGGCUGCGGCCGUUUCCUCCGGAGCACCCACGGGACUGUGUGCUGGGGUCCCUCCACCGGCUGUGUCCUUUAUUCUUCUUUCUCACCCAACGAUUUACCUGAACGGUUAUAAAGUGCACGUUAUUUCCCUAAGCACUUUGAGUAUAUUGGCCCACUGCAUUCUGGACUUCAAAAUUUCUGAUGCGAAAUAUGCUGAUACUUUUGUUGAAGAAAUCUGGUCCUUCUUACUGAUGUGUUGCUCUUCUUCAUGGCUCGUGAAAACUAUUAGAGUCAUCCAAGGUUUGGAGACAGAAAGGAGCACCGCCAAGUGAGGCAGAGCAGUCUCAGAAACAUAGGAAAAUGUAAGAAACUUAAGACUUGGAACAGUUUUUUGUUGUUGUUUUUUUUUUUUUUUUUUUUUUUUUUUUAAUUAGAAGAGGAACAAAGGACAUUGGGUCACAGUUUCUAAAAUAAACAUGAGCAUUAGGGCAUAUAUAAUAGCACAAUAUGAACCAAACUGAUAAAAAGCAGUGUCACAAUAUCUAUGAUAUACAUUUAUGGCUUAUAUGAAUUGAACAUUAACUUCAGUUUAAGGAUGCUUAGUCUUCAUUGUUCAUAG
rnacentral:lncRNA from 1 species